rnacentral:lncRNA from 1 species
GGGCUAGUGCAUAGCGCAAGAGGAAACAUGGUGUAAAUGCGUUGGAAUGGAAAGCAGAGUCUAGAGUCUUGAAGUCCAAGACAGGGAAUUAGAUUUUAUUCCAGGAGCAGUUUCAAAUCACUGAAGAAUUGUAAACAGAAAAGUGAUAUGGUCCAACUCAUGUUUUGAAAAGAUCAUUUUGAAACAAUGUAGAUAAUGGCUUGAAGCUGCUUCAAGUAAUCCGGAGAUUACUGCAAGCCAUCCAGCUAUUUGGCAGCUAAGGACAUUCUUCUGCAUGCUGCACUGCUGGUGGAAAAUAUGGAAGAGAUGCCCAUGACUGUCAGCUAUGGCCUUAAGACCCCGGAGAUUCAGUUCUCUGAUGAGAAGUCGCUUUGAGUCUGUGAAACGUUACACCAGGCAUCUGCUGAAUUUGAAGGGAGUAGCAAGUGGUGACAGAAUAACCAGUUGUCAGUGAUCUGUAUCAGUUGUGCAAAUGCCAGAAAAAUAAUUUCAAGGUGAUUUCCCAGGUAUUUGUAAUAGAUCAUAAAUAAAAAAGGCUACUGGCUAGUAACAUCCUGCAUUCCACCUUGAAUUUCUAGAGUAGUCCUUGGAUUGCAAAUAUAAACGUUCUCAAAAAUAUAAAUAUGACUACUUUAACAAUCCAGCAACGAAUGGACAAAUAUAAUU